GAUGAAGAACGCAGCGAAAUGCGAUAAGUAAUGUGAAUUGCAAAAUUCAGUGAAUCAUCGAAUCUUUGAACGCACAUUGCGCCCGCCAGUAUUCUGGCGGGCAUGCCUGUUCGAGCGUCAUUACAACCCUCAGGCCCCCGGGCCUGGCGUUGGGGAUCGGCGGAAGCCCCCUGCGGGCACAACGCCGUCCCCCAAAUACAGUGGCGGUCCCGCCGCAGCUUCCAUUGCGUAGUAGCUAACACCUCGCAACUGGAGAGCGGCGCGGCCACGCCGUAAAACACCCAACUUCUGAAUGUUGACCUCGAAUCAGGUAGGAAUACCCGCUGAACUUAAGCAUAUCAAUAAGCGGAGGA
rnacentral:misc_RNA from 1 species